UCCGGCUUAUCACCGGCAGUUUCCUCAGAGUUCUCAGCAUUACCUGUUAGCAACAGAGGAUGAGGGUUGCGCUCGUUGCGGGACUUAACCCAACAUCUCACGACACGAGCUGACGACAGCCAUGCAGCACCUGUGCUCCUCCCACCCGAAGUGAAGAGCUCUCUUUCAAGAGCUCAUAGAGGGCAUGUCAAGGCCUGGUAAGGUUCUUCGCGUUGCCUCGAAUUAAACCACAUGUUCCACCGCUUGUGCGGGUCCCCGUCAAUUCCUUUGAGUUUUAAUCUUGCGACCGUACUCCCCAGGCGGGAUGCUUAACGCGUUAGCUACGCCACCGAGUCAACGAAGCGAAGCGUGAAGCUUCGCUUGGCUGACCCGACGGCUAGCAUCCAUCGUUUACAGCGCG
rnacentral:misc_RNA from 1 species